rnacentral:rRNA from 1 species
UACGUAGGGGGCGAGCGUUGUCCGGAUUCAUUGGGCGUAAAGGCGCGUAGGCGGCCAGCACAAGUCAGUUGUGAAAUCUCCGAGCUUAACUCGGAACGGUCAACUGAUACUGUGCGGCUAGAGUGCGGAAGGGGCAACUGGAAUUCUUGGUGUAGCGGUGAAAUGCGUAGAUAUCAAGAGGAACACCUGCGGCGAAGGCGGGUUGCUGGGCCGACACUGACGCUGAGGCGCGAAAGCUAGGGGAGCGAACAGG